AAGUGAUUAUAGGUAUUUGAUUCGUCUGUUUCAGAAUUUUAGUAAAAAUAUUAAAUUGUUACAUUAAGAUAUUAAAAUUACUUACAUGUAUUUAACGUCUAUCUUAAUAUGAUGCCAUACAGCUAUGCACGCACGCGGUGACCAUCAUUACGACUACAAAGGUUUAGUUAUUUGGAAGGACGGACGCCAAUAAGAGAUGCAUGUUUAUCUAAUGUGUAUUCCCAUUAGAAAGAAGAAAAGGUCGAAGAUAAAAUCCACAGCGAUAGCAAUCACUCGGCUCCACAUGAUCAUAUGAAUUUGCCAGCAAGCACUGCACUGAUAUCUAAAAAUUAUACUCAGCGAUUUAACAUAAAUAAUAAUCUUAUAAAAAUAAAUGCAGAAAACGACAUAAAAUUGAGAGACGAACAUUUACUGUUGUUUGAUGUGUGUUUUUGUGACCACUUGAUUUUAAAUAAAUAUUUAAUGAAAUGGCUAUUCAAAAAGGGAAAACGAAGGCUAAAGAGGCACAAUGUGCAUACAGAGAAAACAUCAAAAGUGCAAAACAAAACUUCUAGUUCAGAAUGUGAGAAAAGAAAUAUAAAUAAUCUUGUGAUCAAAGACAUAUUUGUUCGCACACAAUCUUUUAAUGAAUCUGAAAUAGAAACAUUAAGCCUAUCUACCCCGAGUAAUUUGACUGCAAGUCAGACACAUACAGAGGAAUAUGAAAAUUCAAGGAAUGUACUGAACUUAAAUUACCCGACUUUUUUGAAACUGAAACAUUCUUAUCAUGAAAAUGAUAAAUUUUAUAAACGAAGAAACAAACUUUUAAAAUAUAUUCAUGGAAGAGCUAUACAUUUCCACUCCAAUAUAAACCUAAAAUAUGCAGUUUUUAGAAUGUUACCAUUGAAAACAAAAUUGAAACAGUGUUAUGUUAAAAGUAAAAUAGAUCCCCAAGAAGUAUUAAGUAUGGAUUUGUUUCCUGUAGCAAAAAUAACAAAGGAAGAUGGUAAGACAAGUAAUGUUCAUUUACAGAAUGAAGAUAAAUUAAAAGGGAAACAAUUCUCAAGCUUACAAUCUCGUAAUGUAGCGGAUAACGAUAUUAAAGAUAAUAUCAACGCAAAACAAAAACAAUUCAAUUUAUGGAUUAAACAUAUUUCUCCAAGGAUACAGUGUAAAAUUAUUAAUUCGUCCUUGAGCUCAUUAAGUUUAGAUAAUACAACUAAGACUGUUAACAUUAAUAAUAAAUUAUGUUUCAAGAAAUGGGGAAAAUCUAUUUGCCAAAAUUUUGCGUCAUAUAAGAGAAAAGAAAAGGAUAUGAUACAUGCCCUCGUGAAGAAUAGAUCGAAACAGCAGUUCGAUCUUUCUGGCGUACAGAACUGUUUUGGUGCUAAAACUAUUAGCGGGAGUAAUACGCAAUUUGCAUCUUUUUCUGUUUACAAUGCUGAAUCAGUGUUGGGAUCUACCAAAAUUCUGCCAACCGUUCACGAAGAGUAUGAAUUUUAUGAUUCAAUGGACACAAUAACUAAUGUAAAUAUUUUAAGUAAGAGACUACCGAAAACCAACAAUAAUUUUACGAGGGUGAAAUUAAGUAAUAACAAAACAGAUGGUUUAACUCAAGUAAAACACUCACAAGCACAUAAAUACAUAUCCCUAAAAACUUUGAUUAACUUUAAACCAAACCUAUAUUUUAAUAAGAAAUCAGUUAAAAUUGGCGCUGACAAGGUGACAGAAGGAUUUCCAAUUGAUCAUAAAAAAUCUUUGGAAGAAGCCAGUAAAAACAAUGAACGAAAACAGAAGAUAAGAAAACAAUUAGUGCAAUUAAUGAACAAAGUAUUCGCCGUGCAAUUGUGUGACAUCCACGCUGAUCAAACUGAAAGCAUAAUAUCACUUCCGUUGAGGUUUAAAUAUCCUAGCGGUGACAAAAUAAAUGCCUCCACGCAGGGUGCCAGUAUUUUAUCCAAAAAUGUACGCAUUAAUUCUUAUUAUGAUCUAAUUGCUAAAUCAUCCAAUUCAUUAGUAGUAAAUGUGUUUGGACCGCCAGCUCCUCAACCUAGCGUUGCAUCAUUUAGAUCAUCUCAGUUUUGUUCGAAAAUGGAGUAUGGAUAUCUUAAUCAUUUGAUAUACCGCAUGAAAAGUAACACAAAAAGAUCUAGAAUGAGAUUAGCAGAUGAAAAGGAUAUGGAUGAAGAAACAAAUAUUUUUGACGAAGGAUUUGGUCCGAUGUUUGCAAGAGCAAACCGUAAAAAUCCUGAAUUGGAUAUGAUUAACUGGAACUAUGAAAGGAUUCUCGGUAUUGUCCCAAACAGAUAUAAAGAAAAUAAUGAAGCUGCUUUGCUUGGAAAUGUAUUUAAUACUGCCAAAGGAAAAACAUAUCAGGGACCAUAUAUCUAACAUCUGAAGCUCUCGAACUGACUUGGGGUAAAGUUCCAAAAGGCAAGGUCUGUGCAUGUCCAUACGACUACUGCAACUGUAAGGGUUAUAGACAGAAUAUGGAAAUUACACCACCAAGUAGCUACUAUGGUAAACGUGAUGUAUGCGGAGGACUGUGGAAAUGUUUAAACUUCUUUGGUUGUGCUGGAUGCGGCUUCAGACGCGACAAGUCUAACUCAACUUUUCCUCAGAAACUGAUAGAGACCGUAGAAAAAGAAAAAAAUAUAUGUAAAGAUGCCCUGCGGGAACCUGCAGAAAUCUGUCUCACAGGAUGUCAUGCAUAUUAAACAAUUGGAUUUGAGGCUUUGAGCAGAUCAACCCGAGCAAGAAAAAAAAUUAAAGAAACAGCAAAAUAAAAAUAUUUGGUGGUAAAUCUA